UCGGGUGGAAGAGAGAGAAGUUAGCGGCGGACGGGUGAGUAACGCGUGGGCAACCUACCUUAUGCAGGGGAACAACAUUGGGAAACCAGUGCUAAUACCGCAUGAUACUGAUUUAAGGCAUCUUAAAUUAGUCAAAGAUUUAUCGGCAUAGGAUGGGCCCGCGUCUAAUUAGCUAGUUGGUAAGGUAACGGCUUACCAAGGCGACGAUUAGUAGCCGACCUGAGAGGGUGAUCGGCCACACUGGAACUGAGACACGGUCCAGACUCCUACGGGAGGCAGCAGUGGGGGAUAUUGCACAAUGGGCGCAAGCCUGAUGCAGCAACGCCGCGUGAGUGAAGAAGGCCUUCGGGUCGUAAAACUCUGUUAUAAGGGAAGAAACAGUGACGGUACCUUAAGAGGAAGCCCCGGCUAACUACGUGCCAGCAGCCGCGGUAAUACGUAGGGGGCAAGCGUUAUCCGGAAUCACUGGGCGUAAAGGGUGCGUAGGCGGUUUCUUAAGUCAGGGGUGAAAGGCUACGGCUCAACCGUAGUAAGCCUUUGAAACUG
rnacentral:rRNA from 1 species